GGUGAUCGUUAUAUUGGUGAUCAUGAUUUUGGGUAUAUUGGUGAUCAUGAUUUAGGGAUAUUGGUGAUCAUUAUAUUGGGGAUAUUGGUGAUCAUGAUAUUGGGUAUAUUACUGAUAAUGUUAUUGGUGAUCAUGAUAUUGGGGAUCAUGGUAUUGGGGAUCAUAUGAUAUUGGCGAUCAUGAUACUGCCGAUAUUGGUGAUCAUGAUACUGGGGAUAUUGGUGAUCGUGAUAUUGGUGAACAUGAUACUGGCGAUAUUGGCGAUCAUGAGACUGGGGAUAUUAGGAAUAUUAGUGAUCAUUAUAUUGGUGAUCAUGAUACUGGGGAUAUUGGUGAUCAUGAUUUAGGGAUAAUGGUGAUGUUACUGGUGAUCAUGAUACUGGGGAUAUUGAUCAUUAUAUUAGGGAUAUUGGUGAUCAUGAUAUUGGGGAUCAUAUGAUGAUUGUGAUAUUGGUGGUAUUGGUGAUCAUGAUACUGAGGAUAUUAGGAAUCAUGAAAUUGGUGAUCGUGAUAUUGGGGAUAUUGGCGAUCAUGAGACUAGGGAUAUUAGGAAUAUUAGUGAUCAUGAUAUUGGUGAUCAUGAUACUGGGGAUAUUGGUGAUCAUGAUACUGGGGAUAUUGGUGAACAUGAUACUGGGGACAUUGGUGAUCGU
rnacentral:lncRNA from 13 species